AGAGUUUGAUUCUGGCUCAGAACGAACGCUGGCGGCGUGGAUAAGACAUGCAAGUCGAGCGGGAUAUUCGUUGCAGCAAUGUAGCGGGUGUUCAGCGGCGCAAGGGUGCGUAACACGUGGGCAAUUUGCCCUGAAGUUGGGGAUAACUCGCUGAAAGGCGAGCUAAUACCGAAUGUGGCGGCUGGAAGGCAUCUUCUGGCUUCUAAAGUUGGGGACCGCAAGGCCUGACGCUUCAGGAUAAGCCCGCGGCCUAUCAGCUAGUUGGUGAGGUGACGGCCCACCAAGGCUUAGACGGGUAGCUGGUCUGAGAGGACGACCAGCCACACUGGAACUGAGACACGGUCCAGACACCUACGGGUGGCAGCAGUCGAGAAUUUUUCACAAUGGGCGAAAGCCUGAUGGAGCGACGCCGCGUGGGGGAUGAAGGGCUUCGGCUCGUAAACCCCUGUCAUUUGCGACCAAUGCGUGCCAAUUAAGAUGUGGCACGUUGAUAGUAGCGGAAGAGGAAGGGACGGCUAACUCUGUGCCAGCAGCCGCGGUAAUACAGAGGUCCCAAGCGUUGUUCGGAUUCACUGGGCGUAAAGGGUGCGUAGGCGGUGAGGGAAGUCUGAUGUGAAAGCUCGGAGCUCAACUCCGAAAUGGCAUUGGAUACUCUCUUGCUCGAGGAUGGGAGGGGAGACUGGAAUUCUCGGUGUAGCAGUGAAAUGCGUAGAUAUCGAGAGGAACACCAGUGGCGAAGGCGAGUCUCUGGACCAUUCCUGACGCUGAGGCACGAAAGCCAGGGGAGCAAACGGGAUUAGAUACCCCAGUAGUCCUGGCCCUAAACGGUGCAUGUUUGCUGUGGGCGGAAUCGACCCCGCCCGUGGCGUAGCCAACGCGAUAAACAUGCCGCCUGGGAAGUACGGCCGCAAGGUUAAAACUCAAAGAAAUUGACGGGGGCCUGCACAAGCGGUGGAGUAUGUGGCUCAAUUCGAUUCAACGCGAAGAACCUUACCUGGCCUUGACAUGCAAGUGGUAGAAGUCUGAAAGGAUGACGACUCCGCAAGGAGAGCUUGCACAGGUGCUGCAUGGCUGUCGUCAGCUCGUGUCGUGAGAUGUUGGGUUAAGUCCCGCAACGAGCGUAACCCCUGUGUCCUGUUGCCACCCCUACGAGAGUAGGGAGCACUCUGGACAGACUGCCUCGCUUCAACGAGGAGGAAGGUGGGGAUGACGUCAAGUCAGGAUGGCCCUUACGGCAGGGCCGCACACGUACUACAAUGCCCGGCACAAAGGGAAGCAAUACCGUCAGGUGGAGCCAAUCCCAGAAAACCGGGCCCAGUUCAGAUUGUCGUCUGCAACUCGACGGCAUGAAGCUGGAAUCGCUAGUAAUGGCGCAUCAGCUACGGCGCCGUGAAUACGUUCCCAGGCCUUGUACACACCGCCCGUCACAUCAUGAAAGCCGGCUGUACCCGAAGUCCAUGUGCCAACCGCAAGGAGGCAGUGGCCGAAGGUAUGACUGGUGAUUGGGACGAAGUCGUAACAAGGUA
rnacentral:rRNA from 1 species